CGCGCCAUCAUCGUUCUUUGUUUUUCCGCAUUGCCAUCAACCUAGUUGGAGAAAUUGAAAAAAGAAACCUUCUUAUUAUAAAAAAAAAUAGGUAUUAUAAGAAAAUACCAAUUUCAUACCAACAUUAGUCAUAAUUUAUACAAAAAAAAAAUGGGUGAUUUAACAAACUACAAUCAAUUCACAUAAUUGGACCACUGAUAUCAUACCAUUUUUUUUAUAAAAAUAAUACACAACUUAAGUCAGCUUUCA
rnacentral:lncRNA from 1 species